rnacentral:lncRNA from 1 species
GUUUAUCCCGGCCGGCCAGCUACACCACAUAGGACAUAGCUCUAGCUCUGCCCCAUCACGGGGUGCUUUCUUGACCCCUUCCAUUUCCUAGUGCCUGCAACAGCAAGCGCCUUCGUCCUCCUGGUUAGUGCCCCGAAUUCACCUCUCUUAUGCCUUCUUGAUUUGUUCUCAAGUGUUAAUGUUCGAGUGUUUGGGUUAUGUUUAUCUGUUACUGGAGAAAAUAUCUGAUUCUUGCAGCGCUUUNNNNNNNNNNNNNNNNNNNNNNNNNNNNNNNNNNNNNNNNNNNNNNNNNNNNNNNNNNNNNNNNNNNNNNNNNNNNNNNNNNNNNNNNNNNNNNNNNNNNNNNNNNNNNNNNNNNNNNNNNNNNNNNNNNNNNNNNNNNNNNNNNNNNNNNNNNNNNNNNNNNNNNNNNNNAUGCCAACAGAGAUUUACUCUCCCCCUCCCCCUUCUCUCUCUCUCUCUCACACACACACAUAAACUUUUUUUUGUCUGCAACACAAAAUCUAUGGUCAAAAUGGAUCAGAAAAGAUAAUCAAGUUUGAAAUCUGCAACACAAAGAAAUUAUCAGUGUUGCAGCAUACUAGGAGUGGGAAAGCAUAACGACGUCCAUUUUACACGCAUGUAAAUCACACCUGUAUUGGGCCUGGACAUCCACGGUUUUUUUAAUUAUAUUUUAAGUAUAUAUACAGGUUUCUUUUUGUUUUCUUCGAUGGGGAAAAGGAAUACAGAUAAGCCAAGAAAGCUGACAGAGAACAUGUCUGACCUGUCUUUGUUCUUAUAGGUUGGUGUUUUCGAUGUCUUCACCUCAUCUUGCGGAGAUGGCCAACUUCCAACACAGUGAAAGCCUUUCCCUAGAGAGGGUGUUACGUGAUGUAACCGCAGACCCAACCAAUCUACCUUUGUGGUUUUUGAAGUCCAUAACAAAAGAUUUCUGUAAGAAUUACGAAAUUGGUCGUGGUGGUUUUGGAGUAGUAUACAAGGUACGUGUGUGGGAGGUUAACUUUGAUACUUCUAUUCUAUGCAGCGAUGUACUCCUUUUUUUUGUCGGAUAAGUUUCCGAUCUAUUCAUCUUUAAUCAUGAUAGUACAACAAACACUAGAAAUAAUAAAAAUUACAUCCAGAUCCGUAGACCACCUAGCGACGACUACAAGCACUGAAGCGAGCCGAAGGCGCGCCGCUGUUAUCGCCCCUCCCUCGCCGGAGCCGGGCAAACCUUGUUGUAGUAGACAGUCGGAAAGUCGUCGUGCUAAGGCCCCAUAGAACCAACACACCAGAACUCUUUCCAUUUUUAUUUACUCCAAAUAUUAGCUUGGUCUACAGUCAAACUUUGUAAACUUUCUCCAAGUAUGUGGAAAAUAUAUGAACAUAUACACCACCAAAUAAAUAUCAUCAGAGUUAUCCUUGAAUAUAUUUUCACAUUAUAGAUUUGUUAUUAUAAAUGUUUAUAUUGUUUUCUACAAACUUGGUAAAAAAUAUAAAGUUUGACAUCAGUCAAGGUUAAUAUGCGGAGUAAAUAUAAACGGAGGCAGUAAUUUCUAUAUAAAAACUUUAUGGUAUGUGUAUAUGUAAGUUUAGAUGCAAGUUUUCAUGGAGACUCAUGUGUUCCACUGUUCAUCCUUCCCUCACGAUGCGUUCCCUAUAUAUCCACCAAAUACAAGUUUUAGAGUGGUUGGGCAUUUUUAGAACCGUUCGUUGAUGUCGAUUUAACGGCAGACAAAUACGAAGUACUGGGUAGUACUCCGAUGAAAGUACUUGAAAGUACUAAAACGAGUGGGGCCGGUACUCAUGACAAGGUGGGGACGCGUUUUAAUCUAGGGGCAGUUUAGUCCUAGGAAAAUUUGCACGCGCCGCCCCUCUCGUCGAAUGAAUAACCGCCGCCAUGGUGCUACACAUUCCACAAUUACUCAUCGGCGGCCAUCUCCUCCCUCUCCUCCAUGUCCACCGCAGUCAUCUCCUCCUUCUUGCCGCUGCAACUUCGCUCCACUCAGGCAACCCCCCCACCCACCCCACCCCUCUUCCAUGGCAGAUCGAGCUGAUGGUCGGCGGCGAGAACACCGACUUCGUGCAGAUCGCCGGCGGCGACCAGGUCAAGUUGGCCAGGUUGAGGGAGAUCCGUUCUUGGUUUGACAACACAAGGCAGAUGAGCUGGACGACAAUGACCACUCUCAAGAAUUUGACGAAGAAAGAGAGGGCAAAGCUUUUCCCCCAGCCCGCGCAACCGAUUCAGAAGAUCGAGAUCCUCCUCUGGGUGAUGGAGCAAGCCAACUCGUCCAGCGAGUGGACCAGGCAGAGGUGGUGGGCGUUCAGAUCCAGGGUAGAGCAUCCACUGGAUCAGGAACCCACCGUGCACGAGGUGCCGUUGCAGAUUGUGCAGCCUCCAACCGAGUCACCGGAGACUUCGAAGCGCAAGAUGAGGAGGACAAUGGUCGCGACCUCGCUUCCCCGCCGUUCUCCACGCUUCCCUCGCCGCUCUCCUCGUCUGAACGGCGGCGGUAGCUAUGUUUAGAGUAAGCUUCCCCACUCCUCAUCUUUCUACUGCUCGUGCUUACAUCGUGGUGAUACUGAUCAUAAUAGCUCAGAGAGGGAAUGCUAGAUGGCAUUUUAAUCUCAAUGAAUUGCAUGAACAUUUGAGUACAUGGAUUUGGAGGAUGGAUUAUGAUGUAUGUGAACCCUAGGCAUCAUAUGAACCCUAGGAAAAAUUAGUAAUGUUCUAGUGGUAGACACUGAAAUAUUUCGGUACAAACCGGUAGGCACUGAAAUAUUUCGGAACUGCCCUAGGCAAAAUUUGUAAUGUUGUAGUGGUGGACACUGAAAUAUUUCGGUACACACCGGUAGGCAUUGAAAUAUUUUGGUACUGCCCUAGGCAAAAUUUGUAAUGUUAUAGUGGUAGACACUGAAAUAUUUUGGUACACACCGGUAGGCACUGAAAUAUUUCGUUACUACAAUUUCAGUACACACCGAUGCACACUAAAUUAUUUCACUACUGCAGUUUCAGUACACACCGGUACACACUGAAAUAUUUCAGUACUGCAAAUUCUAUACAAAGUUGGCAUUUUGUCAUUUAUGUGUGAAUUAAUCCAUGCAUCAUAUGGCCUAACUUUGUACAUGAGUUUGGGUCAAUUUCAUAUCUAUUUAUUGUUAAAAUUAUUGUCAUGCCAUGAAACACAAGACAAGUCACUGACCCAAGCUUGCAAAGAUGCCAUAUCAAUGUUGCUGAUAUGAAAUAUGCAUGUUUUCACCUAGUCUUGUGUCUGAAUUAAAACUGAGCAUUUUUUCUUGAUGGUAUCCAUGGAUCUAGAACUCCUAUGAAUUUGCUCAUGUUGGAUGUUUUGUUCUCCAUCAUUUGUAUUAGCAUUCCGUGCGAUUAGAUGCCAUGACAAGACCCCUGGCAUAUUUAUUUUCUUGCCUCCAACAUCACAUGUGUGUUUUGCAGGAAAAAACCUGGAGUUCACCAGGCUGGCUGAAGUUGUGAGGCUAGGAGGCUGAUGGUGCUGCUACUGGCUGAUCCUUCUUCUUUCAGUUUUUAUUCGUCAUUGGACCAGGGCUACUUCCCUAUGUGCUGUUAAUGUAUUAAGUAGUUCCUUCGAAUUUGUAGUAUUAGUUAGUUUGAAUGUGGAAGUACCUUAAUUUUUAGGAACGAAAUGUUGCUAUGUAUGACCAAGGGUUUCAUACCUUAAUCUUUGGAUAAUUAAUUAUGUGAACUGUUGGAUGUGGCGCAUAACGAAACGCCUCUACCAUUGAUACUAGUUCAACAUGUCGG